rnacentral:rRNA from 1 species
AACGAACGCUAGCGGCAGGCCUAAUACAUGCAAGUCGAACGGUGUCUUCGCACAUAGUGGCGCACGGGUGCGUAACACGUAUGCAACCUACCUUUCAUUGGGGGAUAGCCUUUCGAAAGGGAGAUUAAUACCGCAUAAGACAGUAGCUGGGCAUCCAGCAGCUGUUAAAGAUUUAUCGAUGUAUGCUGGGCAUGCGUCCAAUUAGCUAGUUGGUGAGGUAACGGCUCACCAAGGCAAUGAUUGGUAGGGGAACUGAGAGGUCAAUCCCCCACACUGGCACUGAGAUACGGGCCAGACUCCUACGGGAGGCAGCAGUAGGGAAUAUUGGGCAAUGGACGCAAGUCUGACCCAGCCAUGCCGCGUGCAGGAUGAAGGCGUUAUGCGUUGUAAACUGCUUUUAUACAGGAAGAAACGACUCUUGCGAGAGGCAUUGACGGUACUGUAUGAAUAAGCACCGGCUAACUCCGUGCCAGCCGCCGCCGUAA